GUCUAGGGCCAUACCACCCUGAACGUACCUGAUCUCAUCUGAUCUUGGAAGCUAAGCAGGAUUGGGCCUGGCUAGUACUUGGAUGGGAGAAGUAACUGAUGGGAAACGGCAAAGAGCCCAGAAUU
ensembl:rRNA 5S_rRNA 5S ribosomal RNA